AUGCGUACACAGACGGCAAUGCCGACCACCCUCCUCUUCCUCGCGCUGCUCCUCGUCCCGCACCUCGCCGCCGCAGCAUCCACGCCCGGCCACCAGCGCCGGCUGCUCCAGAGCAACGGCGCCGACGACGGCAGCGACGUCUUCGUCGACCCGUCCUACGCCUUCGCCAACCCGCGCCUCCGCGACGCCUACGUCGGGCUGCAGGCCUGGAAGCGCGCCAUCCUCUCCGACCCGCGCAACCUCACCGCCUCCUGGUCCGGCCCCGACGUCUGCUCCUACUACGGCGUCUUCUGCGCGCCGUCCCAGGCGGACCACUACCUCACCGUCGUCGCCGCCGUCGACCUCAACCACGCCGACCUCGCCGGCCACCUCCCGGAGGCGCUCGGCAGGCUCGCCGACCUCUCCGUCUUCCACGUCAACUCCAACCGCUUCUGCGGCCUCGUGCCGGCCUCCUUCCACGCCAUGCACCUCCUCCACGAGCUCGACCUCAGCAACAACCGCCUCGUCGGCGCCUUCCCCGACGUCGUGCUCCGCCUGCCCAGCCUCAGGUACCUCGACCUCCGCUACAACGAGUUCGAGGGCCCCGUGCCCAAAGAGCUCUUCGACCUCCCGCUCGACGCCAUCUUCAUCAACUCCAACCGCUUCCGCUUCCAGAUCCCCGACAACGUCGGCAACUCGCCGGCCUCCGUCCUCGUGCUCGCCAACAACGACUUCGGCGGCUGCCUCCCGGCCUCCGUCGCCAACAUGUCCGGCACGCUCAAUGAGAUCAUACUCAUGAACACCGGGCUCAAGUCCUGCGUCCCCCCGGAGCUCGGCAUGCUCACCGCCCUCACCGUGCUCGACGUCAGCCACAACCAGCUCAUGGGCGCCAUCCCCGCCGAGCUCGCCAACCUCCACAGCAUCGAGCAGCUCGACCUUGGUCACAACCGCCUCACCGGCGACGUGCCGGAGGGGAUCUGCCACCUGCCGCAUCUCCAGAACUUCACCUACUCCUACAACUACAUCACCGGCGAGCCGCCGGUGUGCAUGCACGUCAAGGCAUUGGACGAUCGCCGGAACUGCAUCCCGAACCGCCCUGACCAGAGGUCAACCGAGCAGUGCCAAUUCUUCAACAGCAACCAUGUCAACUGCGACGCCUUCAGGUGCAAGAAGUUCGUGCUGCCGUCGCCGCCACCUCCUCCGCCUUCACCACCGCCACCAACCCCGUCUCCUCCGCCACCUUCACCACCGCCGCCGUCGCCUCCUCCACCAACCCCGUCUCCUCCACCACCUUCACCUCCACCCCCGUCUCCAUCACCCCCACCUCCGUACUACGAGGUCUCACCUGAGGAACGGUACCUUUCGCCGCCACCUCCAGCGUACCAAGAGCCGACAACGCCUCCCCACUACGAGGUGCCAGCUCCCUACUACGAGGUGUCACCGGAGGACCGGUACCACUCAUCGCCACCCGCAGCUUACCAAGAGUCUCCACCUCCGCCCUACUACGAGGUGUCACCAGAGGACCGGUACCUGUCGCCGCCACCUCCAGAGUACGAAGAGCCGACAACACCGCCCCACUACGACCUACCAGCGCCGCCCAACUACGAGGUGUCACCGGAGGACCGGCACCUCUCGCCGCCACCACCGACGACGUGGAAGCUGCCGGCGUACGACUACUCGUCGCCGCCUCCACCGGCUGCCGGGCAGCCAUGA
rnacentral:rRNA from 1 species